rnacentral:misc_RNA from 1 species
GCGGAAGGAUCAUUAACGCGCAGGCCGGAGGCUGGCCCCCCACGAUAGGGACCGACGUUCCAUCAGGGGUGAGCAGAUGUGCGCCGGCCGUACGCCCCCACUCUUGUCUACCUCACCCGGUUGCCUCGGCGGGCCGCGCUCCCCCUGCCAGGGAGAGCCGUCCGGCGGGCCCCUUCUGGGAGCCUCGAGCCGGACCGCGCCCGCCGGAGGACAGACACCAAGAAAAAAUUCUCUGAAGAGCUGUCAGUCUGAGCGUUUAGCAAGCACCAUCAGUUAAAACUUUCAACAACGGAUCUCUUGGUUCCGGCA